AUGAGCUGUAUAGCCAUGGUUCCAGCCUUCCAAGCUGAGGCUGCAUACUGGUGGCAAAGCCCUGUAUCCACAGUCAAAAGAAGGCAAAGAAAAUGUAGAGAACAGUUUGGUACUACCAUUGCAUUUAGAGGAGCCACUUUCUUUGAUCCCAUUAACCUGUUGCAGGUGCUAGCAGACCACAGAAGAUCUAUCAAAAUGCCUGCCCACAGCAGCAGCAUAGGUAGUUUAGCAUUGUCCUUUGGAUUGUAUUUAGUAAACGUUAGUAUUUACAUAUGCCUUAUUUUAUUGAAUGUCAUUUUGUUGAGCAAACAACAAAACCUCCACACGGAGGAGGAUAGUUUGUCUAAAGCAAGAAGAGGUCUAUAGUCAUACUGAUGUGACAGAAAGAGAACUCGUGUCAAUCAGCCCUUAAAUGCGCUCCCUUAAACUAUAGCAACCUGAAACAUGUUUGAGAACUUCCUGAGUCUGUUUUGAGGAAACUCAAUUUCAGCAUCAUGUAAGAGCAAGAACAUUUCCCAUUUACAGUUCCCAGGAGGUGGAAUUUUCCUAUUGGGCCUUCUCUUAGGCUCCAGAGGGCUUCAGUGUUAUCUACAUUCGCCUGUUAAGGGGAUUUUCAGCAGACAGAAUGAAAUGAAGUUUAUGGUACACUAGUAGCAAGUGUGGGCCACUUGGAAAUGAUCAGGCUUGGUUAGAACAAUCCACUCAAGCCUGACAGUUUACAUGGAAAUGGCUCCUGCCGGCCUUAAGGGGCUGGUCAAGAAACUGCCCGCAGCUGAAGCCACAGAUGUAGAUUUGACUGCAGAUGGUUUCUGGAUUGACCCUUUAAGGGGAAGCAAAGAAAAGAUUUUUAAUUUUUUUUAUAUAAAUUUUUUAAAUAUGUUGUGCAUUAGUCUACAUACAAUCAAAAACAAUUUUUCACUUCCCCUGCUCUCUGCCAAGCAGGGGAAGUGAAUAAUUUGCCAAUAUUCUGAAAUGGCUCACUUAUUAAGUCACUUCACAGUACUGGCAAAUUGAAAGAGGAAGACUUGCUUUGGAGCACUUCCAGCAAUCUCAAAUGCUGGAACCAAUCCAAACCAGAGUGGUCCUACCCACAGCAAAAAAAAGGAGAUUCCCCUUGACGGGCUAAAAAAAGUGCAGGUAGGAAUACUCUUGGGGUGGGCUAGUGCACUCUAGCAAAGACAUCAUCUGAUUGCCAUCUUUGAGAGCAAGUGAGCCCAUUCAUGCAGCACUCAAAACAGCAGGUUCAACAGCCCAUAUAGUCAGCCUCAAACAUAGCCUGACCCAGAUAGACUCUGGGGGAAGGGAAGGGAAAGAGGCCAAACAGAGACUAAACUCUGAAGAAAAAGGAGGGAACAGCAGCUGGAAAAAGAUAAAUAACCAACAUGAAAGAGCCAUUUAAACUCCAGUCGAGCUAGAGUUUAUCAGAUUUCAGUAUUCCAUUUGUAUUAUAAACCAUAAGCCAGUAGCAAUACAAAUAUAUGUUACCCUCUAUAUAUUUUCUUGCUAGUUAGAACUAGGUGAACAGUCUGAUAGUGGAUAUGUCUCCAGAGAUAACAAUUUGCCCCCUCAGUCCUGUGUCCCAUCAAACUUACCUAUUUGUUCAAGACCCACCCAGUGAACUGAGCAGUGGGAAUUCACUGAUAAAAUAUUGAAAAGGCAUAUGUCUUUAAGACAGCUCAGAUUUUUUGCAGAUCUCAGUCUGAAAGAUAAAGCAAAUCUUCAUCCACUCAUAAAUGAAACCUCUUCAAGGUGCCAUGAGAGCCGUUGCUAUUUAUUUCAUUGCUUCCUAUUGCAUUUGGGCAUGCUAACAACUAAUUGGUCUCACUCCUGGCCAAACAGAUGCAAGGUAAGGCUUUUCAACAAUACUGUGUAUGAAGAGAUCUUAAUCUGGAUUCAACACAAAUUACCAUUGGGAAUUUCCAAAAGAAGUCAUAGUUUAUAAUCCAAUGGUGCGAGAAAAAGUGACAUUCCAAUUAUUCCAGUAACAGGAAAAGCAUUCAGCAUUUUUUUUAAAAAAACGAAAACAUUUUUGAAUGUAUUUCCAUUUAAAGUACUUAAAAGAUAAGAUUGUUCUACUUAAUUUCCAGCAACUGAAACUCUAAAGAAUUUGGUGAUGUUUAAAUGUAGUGUUUUUAUAUUUUCAAUGGGUUUAAUCCCCUCCCUCCUCCAAGUGUACAAACUGACCUAGCACUAUUGUACAGUGCAACAAAGUAUGGGUGGGCAGAAGCAUGACUCAGGCAUUUCUCUCUUUUUUGCAUGUCCCACAUGACAUGCAAAUAGGGACCUUUUUUCAAACUCCCCUGCAAUGAGGAGAAUGAACUCCUCCUGCAUCCUGGACUUCUCAUCAGAGGAAGGAGUAGAAAGAAGGAGCACAAAGACCCCCUUCAUGCAUUACAUGGGACACAUGAAAAGAGAAAGUGCAACACACUGCUCAUACACAUGCUUCCUCUUAAUGUGCAAAGACACCCUAAAACCCAUAAUGAUGGGGCAUUAUUUCCAGACAAACUAUAGAUGCAACUAUAGGACAGAACCAUAUCGGUAAUCAUGUCUGUUUCCAUAAUAAACCCUUCUCCAGAGCUGGUGGCCCUUUGGAA
ensembl:lncRNA